GACAGAGGUGCCGAGCGUUAGGCGGAAUCACUGGGCUUAAAGCGUGUGUAGGCGGAUCGUUAAGUGCCUUGUGAAAUCCCACGGCUCACCCGUGGAACUGCUCGGUAUACUGGUCGUCUUGAGCCUUCUAGGGGCGAGUGGAACAAAUGGUGGAGCGGUGAAAUGCGUAGAUAUCAUUUGGAACGCCAAUGGUGAAAACAACUCGCUGGGGAAGUGCUGACGCUGAGACACGAAAGCCAGGGGAGCGAACGGG
rnacentral:rRNA from 1 species